ACAGGUCUCUUUGACAUAAGAGAUCUGAUAUUAGAGAUAACAGGUCUCUAAUGUGUCAAAGGGCCCACAUAGAAGAUUGAUUUUGAAAAAAAAAAUUAGAUCUAUUUUUCACGGACUCACGCUCAUUCCUCUCUCUCAGUCUCUCUUCUCCCAGAAGCCAGAAGGCCAGAACACAAUUACACAAACACGCUUCCACUCUAUCUCCUUCACUGAAGCGUACUCGAAAAUCUCCAUUGAAGGGGCUUGUGAGCUUUCUCUCCUCCACUGAAGCAGUCUCAAAGGGUUUUUCGAAGUUGGAUAAUUCCCUCUCCAAAAUCAAUCAGCAAAAAUGGCUGGCAAAGAUGGCGCCGCUGUCAAAAGCACCGGUGGAAGGGGCCAGCAAAAGAGCGACGUUAUGUCGGUUUCUCGGUCCUCCAAGGCUGGCCUUCAGUUUCCUGUUGGUCGUAUUGCUCGCUUCCUGAAGAAGGGUCGUUAUGCUCAGAGAGUUGGCUUUGGUUCUCCUAUCUAUCUUUCUGCUGUCCUUGAGUAUCUUGCUGCCGAGAUCACCAUGGGCCAGCAAAGGUAAACUGCUGUCAAGAACCAAGGAAUCCUACUAACUGGAAGGAAAAACAUUUCUUUCCAUCAAGACUUUGUGGGUUAUAUAUGCUCUCAAGCCUUAAAAAGAUGAUGCUAGUGAAGAGAAUGAAGACGUAUGGACAUUCCUUAAUGAGGGGGUUGUCGUCAAAUUUUGUACAAAAAUGGAGUUUUGUAGAAGUUUUUGUAUAGUGUUUUAGAUGGUAAAAUUAAACUUAUUGAAUGUAAGUUUGUUAGUUGACUUGGCUUAUUAUUAAUAAAACUAUGGCAAUUUUUUUUUGGAGUAUUAACAUGUAGUAGCGGAUAAAUUAAUUUAUACAAAUACAUCGACAUAUAAAUAUAUACAGGUAUAGGCGCAUAGCCGCAUGGGUACAUUAUAGCAGUGUAUUAAUGAGCCAAGCCACGUCAUCAAAGAUCUG